AGUGGAGAUGUGACUAAAAGGGAAAUGAAGAAGGAAGGCUGGCUUCUAUUUCUUGGGACGCGUUCCUGUCUUCACCUUCACCUUGGACAACUGGGACUCCUGGCUUCCAGCACAGACCCUUCAGCAUGCUGGUACUGACUCACACGGGAGUACAGUGAGCUCCAGGCCUUCAAUUGGAUCCUUUGGAUCUCCACUGUUUGGACUGUUUGGACUUUUACACUCUUCUGCACCUGACUGUGGGCAGCCACUGCGAUUUCUAAUUUCGAUGGGGACCAGGCAUCAUGUACAAGAAGGCAAUUAAUAGCUCCCUGAAGGGACAAUUCACUAGCCAGGUCGUAAAAAUCAUCCAUUGUUUGAUCUUUUGGCCAUAAGGUCCAUUCUGCUGUCCAUUACAAUGAGGAGGAGGACCAAUGAGUGUUUUGGCCCAAUCACUACCUUAAACCAUUAAAAUGAGUUUCUUCUUAGGUAACUUCAAAAGAGAUCUUGUUUUCAGCAGAAUGAUCAGAAUGCGUAUAUGAUUCCCAAGUUUUAUUAUACAAAUGACUGUUUUUUGUUAUGUCUAACCACAGAGCUCCACAGACCAGAUCACGUGAGUGUCCCGCAGACUUCUUCGACCCUGUUUCUGAUCCUUGAGAAGGAGGACAAUCAUUCAGGGUGUAAGUGCUUCCUCUCUGCAGAGUACCUGUGACUUCAGUGAAUCCUCUCCAAGCACCUCUGAUGUUACUCUUCCUCUAGUCGGCAAUGUUGGAUCUGUAGAAUUCAUUUGUCACCAUUGUGUGGCUUGAGAGUCUCUCAGCAUCCUUCCCAUGUGGCCUACAGUUGGUAGAAGUCACAGAACAAGGCUGUAUAGCUAGUCCAAGGCUCUCAGCAACGCAUUGUCCCAGCUUUUGUACCAAAAGGAGAAAAUUACAGGGGCUGAGAUGUAUUGCUUUGUGCUCUGACAUAUCUGUUGGCUGGUGGUAGGGGAAAACUGUUGUAAAGUAGCUUCACGGAGGAUGACUUUUGGUGGCAUUGUACAACUUAGAACAGGGUUGUGAGACAAAUCUGGAUGCUAUGAGGUGGAGAGGGUCUGAAUGAAGCAGAAGGCAGUGAGAAUGUAGAAAUAUGAAAAAACCCAAGCUUGAAAGUAUGAAAAAACUUUUUCUCAUAAAAAGUGUCACAGAAUAUAUCGAAUGAGGCAUAUAGGGGUGCUCAAACCUAGUUUAAGAAUUUUUUGUGUCUACUAAUACUUUGUACAUUUCUUCAAAACUCCUGAACCCAAUUGGCCUACAGACCCCUGGGAUGUGAUGGAGAUCCAAGAUUAAGGGCCCCCUCUGGACCAGCUCCAAGGAUUUCUAACAAGUGUGAUACAAGAUGGGCACUGGGUCAGCUCUGCAAGGCCCCUCCCAGAUGGGCAAAGCACUCUGGUAUGCGAGCUGGGGAAGACUGAUGCUAGAGGCAGGAAAGAUGGACACAAGUGGGGAAGGAACCCAGAUACUGCCAGAGGAGGAUUUACAUGAAGCUAAUGAAGCUCAAAUUUUAGGGCCUCUCAUUUGAAUAGGUGUUUUCCAAGGUCUUGCUUUUAAUUAUCUCUAUAUGAUUUUGUUUUCAUAAAAAGGUUUCCCUAAUUAUGUGAGCCCCAUGGCUGCCCAGAUCCUGGAUCUUACCUCAGUCACCUAUACAGUAACUCCCUGCUGCUCUCAUGCCUCAUAAUAGGUUUUCAUCAUCUCACUAUUUUAUGGCAUCCUUUAUUGCUACUGAGAAAUCAGCUACUGGUUUAACUAAGACUUCCAGUUUACAGAACUCCAGGGGCUGCCAUUUGCACUCUUGUCUAAGUAAUCGGGAGUCCUCUGAGUUUGUGCAGUGUAUAUGUGCCUUUCCUUUACUGCAUUUUAGAUUUUUAUCUUUGACGGUAUUAAGUUUUAUGAUGGGUAUGUAGGUAUGAGUUUCUUUUUCUUUUCUUUUUUUUUUUUAAUGUGGGACCUAUUGGGCUUCAUCAGCAGCAAAUCAACCCAUUCCACCAAUUCUGGGGAAUUCUUAGGCAAAUCUUCAAAUAUUACUUCUGCCUUAUACUUAAGAACUGAUUAGGUAGAUGUCAGGCCUUCUUUUUCUAUCUUCUUUGUUUCUUAAUCUCUUCCCACCACCCUCCAUUUUAGAGCAGCAGUUGGGAAACUAAUGUCCAUGAUGCAAAUCUGUCCCACUGCCUGCUUUUGUCAAUAGAGUUCUACUGGAAUACAGCCAUUCCUCUUUAGACAUUGUCGGUGACUGCUUUCAAGCUAUAGUGAAACAGAAUUGAGUAGUAGAGACAGACACUUUUAAUCUCAUAAACCUAAAAUAUGAACUAUAUGACCUUUACAGAAUAACUCUGCUGCCUUUUUGGAGACAAUUUAUCUUCCAGUUCACAAAUUCUCUCUUCAUCUGUUUUUACUGUGCUAUUAAAAUUGUUCACUUGUUCAUUUUGGUUAUUGUAUUUUUAUUUCAAAUGGACUCCUACAAAUCUAGAAGGUCAUUUUUUAUAGUUUCCUGUUUCUGAUAAUAUUUUCAAACAUUUCCUUUGUGUAUUUAAAGAUAAAUUCAAUACUUUAGAAACAUACACACAUUCUGGUAUGUCUAGUACCUGAAGUCUUUACAGGUCUAAUUUUGAAAUCUGUUUUUCUGUGUGUGUUUUUUCUACUUAUUUUCAUUUUAUUAUUUUAACUUUGUACAGUUCAUUAUUUUUUUAAAACUAUCUGUUGAAGUGUUUGAAAUCUGAAAUACAAAUAUGUUUCUGCAAAGUGGAUUUAUUUUUGUUCUGCCUGGUGUCUAAAUCAAAUUCUUUCAGAGCUAUGGAUCACCAAGGCUGCAAAUCCAUGUCAGGGCUGGUAAGAGGCCACAAGGUCUUUCGAAAUUUUUUACUUUAUUUUUCCUGCUGCUAAAAAUAUUAGUACUGGGUUGGAGAAAUUCUCCACUACACUGUGUAUAGUUCUUUUCAUCACUGAGUUUCUAUCACUCAGCACAGUGCUUGGCCUAAUACUUUAAGAAUGAGUUAAUGAUCAGAAUCUGUUGAUUGGGCUUUCUAAAUAUUCAUAGUUCUCAAAUUUGUCUCUUCAUUUCCUUCCCAUGCUCAUGGUCCUGGUCAGGUCCUUAUCACAUGUUUAUCUGGAUUGUUAUAAGUUUACUUCCCAAUUUAGUAGUCCUCAGUUAAGAGCAUAUUUCAGAAUUUCUUUGCUAUGUCAGAAAAAAUGUAUAUUUUCAAAAAUCAAGAAUGAAUUGAGGAAAUCUCUAGUUUAAAAUAUUCCACAGAUGAUUCUAAUAUGUGCCUUCAGUGAAAGACAUUCUAUGUCAGCUUGUCUUCAGUCUUGUCCCUCUUAAAUUCACUUUCCAUGUUCCAUUAGAGUUCAUCUAAUAUGCAAAUCUGAUGACUUUACUCUCCUACAAAAACCUUACAGUGGCACUCUGUUGCCUAUAGGAUAAAAUCCAACCCCUUUAGCACUGUUUGCACAGCCCUCCAUUCUGACUUGUGCUCUGUGCUUUGGUGGCACUGAAUUUUUUGCAUUCCUUCCUCACACACUGUCUUGUCACCAUGUCUUGCUUUUGCUGAAGUUAUUCUCUAUCCCUCAAGUCCCUGUUCUUUCUUUACUGGCUUUCUCCUUCCUGCCUUCUAUGACCCAGUUCAGCUCUAGGAAGCCUCUCUGGAAGGCUGGAUUUAGUGUUAUUACUCCUUGGUAUUCUGCUUCAUCAAUUCUGAGACCAAUUCUGUUAUAUAGAAAAAUAUAACUUUCCACCAGAGUGUGGGUUCCUCAAGGGACUUAAGUCACUCAUCUUUGUUAGUCUCACAAAGGGCUCAGAGUAUAGGAAACUCAAACUAUAAAUAAAGAGCAAAAUAAAAGAUAGACAAUAGGAAGUAAGGAGAUAAAUUUUUCUUGAAUGGGA